rnacentral:lncRNA from 1 species
UGACGUGGUUGGUGAAUGGAAGGACGAUGGCAUCAGGAGGUGAUAAGGUCAAGAGGGCGAAGCCCUCGGGAUUGGAAUCCUGCUGGCUUCAAAGGGAGCUGCCUGCACCCCACCCCGCAGAAGGACCCAUGGAGAGCUCACCAUCCAUCUACUGCUGACUUUCCUCAUUGCCAUGGCAAAGGAUCAAACAGAAGCAACUUGAGGGAGGUGCUGCCUUUGUUGGCUCACGGUUUUCUGGGUUCAGUCUGAUCUGGUGGAGAAAGCAUGGCGGAUGUCUGGAGCUAGUGGAUAAACUUGUUCAGAUCUUUGUGGAUGGGGAAGCAGGGCUGAGUUCUAUCCCUCCAGGGGGACCCAGUACUGCUAGGUACUAGACCCAGAGUCCCAAAGUUUUCCCAACCUUCCAAAGCAAUACCUUCAAUAGAGGAGCAUGAGCCUGUGAGAGAUUAAGCAAAUCUUAACAGUGGGGAAGCAAAGGCUAAGUUUGUCAGAGCCUUGCCCUUGUACUUCCAGCCCCAGGUCUCUAGAGCAGUGACUCUAUAGUUCAUAAAGCUACCCAGCCUGUGAUAUUUUCAGAUCACAUCUCAGAUGGACUAAGGCAAUUUUUAACUAAACCCUAUUUGUUGUGGUAUUUCCAAACCCUCUUUGUAACCCUCCUGAUACCAGCACAUUUACAGGAACUAAAAACUGGACUCUAGAGCCUUGCUUUCUUUUUUCCCCCCUGCUUACAUGUUUUCUGAACAUCUGAAUUUGCAAUGUUGUAGAAACCAAAGGUUUUACACAAGAUUAGAGUCUUUUAGCCUCCCUACAAAACUCAGAAAUCUUGUGAAAUAGGGUCCUUGGUUUCUCCUGGGCAGAAGACUGAAGGAGAGAGACAGGAAGACAGAAGGGAAGGAAGGCAAGGAGAGAGACAAAGUCAGAGAGAGAGAGAGAGAGAGAGAGAAAGGGGGGAGGUAGAGAGAAUAAAAGAGGGGGCAAGACUAAAGGUAAGAGGGGGAGGUACAUAAGGAGGGGAGGAGAGAGACAGAGUCAGAGAGAGGGGGAGAGAAGGAGGAAGGGAGAGAGAAAGAGGGAGAGAGGUGAAAGGAAAGAGGAGGGAGGAAGGAAGGGAAGGGGAGAGAGAGGUAAAAGGGAGAGGAG